rnacentral:rRNA from 1 species
CGAACGGGAAAUAUUUCAUUGAGACUUCGGUGGAUUUGAUCUAUUUCUAGUGGCGGACGGGUGAGUAACGCGUGGGUAACCUGCCUUAUACAGGGGGAUAACAGUCAGAAAUGGCUGCUAAUACCGCAUAAGCGCACAGAGCUGCAUGGCUCAGUGUGAAAAACUCCGGUGGUAUAAGAUGGACCCGCGUUGGAUUAGCUUGUUGGUGGGGUAACGGCCCACCAAGGCGACGAUCCAUAGCCGGCCUGAGAGGGUGAACGGCCACAUUGGGACUGAGACACGGCCCAGACUCCUACGGGAGGCAGCAGUGGGGAAUAUUGCACAAUGGGGGAAACCCUGAUGCAGCGACGCCGCGUGAAGGAAGAAGUAUCUCGGUAUGUAAACUUCUAUCAGCAGGGAAGAUAGUGACGGUACCUGACUAAGAAGCCCCGGCUAACUACGUGCCAGCAGCCGCGGUAAUACGUAGGGGGCAAGCGUUAUCCGGAUUUACUGGGUGUAAAGGGGGCGUAGACGGUGUGGCAAGUCUGAUGUGAAAGGCAUGGGCUCAACCUGUGGACUGCAUUGGAAACUGUCAUACUUGAGUGCCGGAGGGGUAAGCGGAAUUCCUAGUGUAGCGGUGAAAUGCGUAGAUAUUAGGAGGAACACCAGUGGCGAAGGCGG